rnacentral:tRNA from 1 species
GGUGAUGGCUCAGUGGAAGAGCCUCUGACUUGCGUGCAUUAGGUCCCAGGUUCAAGCCCCGGCAUCGCCA